UGUUAGGUGUAAAUGCAGAGUCAUGGUCUGCUGACGAUUUUUGCUUUGUCAUAGCUGUGACUCUGCACUUUUGUGGCACACAGGCCAUCCUGUUGGAUCGUGUCUGUGUGUGCGUGUCGAGUAAAGAGUAAGAACAAAAUGAUGAGGUCAAACACUACCUCGACUCUUUGAUUUCCCUCUCUGGAAGCACUUGCCAUCUGAUCGAGACAAAGGCAGAAGGGGUGUUGGAACUGGACUAUUUUACCAAGACAAUGACAGUGGCUUCAGGACUGAGCCCCUUAUGACACCUCCGCACUCCUGCUACCUCUCCUGAACCCUUCAUUGCUUCCUUCCUUCCUUCCUUCCUUCCUACUCGCUGGGAUCUCCCCCUGGCCUAACCUCUACAACCUGGAGGCCACACUAUUCUCCUCCCCCAGAGGUUCCUACUGCUACUCCUGGGGGGCCCGGCCUAGGUGGUGGUGUUGCUGGAGCUCCACCCUUGGUGGUGGUGUUGGUGGAGCUCCACCCUAGGUGGUGGUGUUGGUGGAGCUCAACCCUGGGUGGUGGUGUUGGUGGAGCUCCACCCUGGGUGGUGGUGUUGGUGGAGCUCCACCCUAGGUGGUGGUGUUGCUGGAGCUCCACC
ensembl:lncRNA